rnacentral:tRNA from 1 species
GCUGGUUUGGCUUAGUGGAUAGAGCGUCAGCCUGCGGACUGAAGGGUCCCAGGUUCUAUUCCUGGUUGGAGCA